UAGAUCUGAGUUCUCUACCUCUUGCC
rnacentral:piRNA from 1 species